rnacentral:rRNA from 1 species
GGGGGAAAAAUUAAUUAUUUAAAUAUAAUAAAAGAAAUUUUUAAGUAAUUAUAAUUUAAUGGGGGUUAAAGUAUAAUUAUAGAAAAAAUUUAAAAUUUUAUAGUAAAGUAGUAUUGUGAAAGAAUAAUGAAAUAAUAUGAAAAAAAAUUAUUUUUAAAGUAAAUUUAAUUUGUUGUAUCUUGUGUAUCAGAGUUUAUUAAUUUAAUUAUAUUUAGUUAAAUAAUUCUCGAAUUUAAAAGAGAUAAUUAAUUAAAAAAUUUAUUGUAGCAUAAGUAUUUUAAAUAAUUAAUUGGAAAUGAAAUGUUAUUCGUUUUUAAAAAUAUCUAGUUUUUUUAGAAAUAAAUUUAAUUUAGAAUUUUUUUUUAUUAAAAAUCAUAAAUUUUAUAAUAAAAAAAAAUUUAAUAUUUUAAGGGAUAAUCUUUAAAUUAAAUUUUUAUAAUAAUAAUUUUUAAAAUUUAAAAUUUUUAAAAUUUAUAUUGUUUAUAAAAUAAAUUUUUUUAUAAAAAAUUUUAAUUUAAAAAAAAAUUUUUAAUUAAAAUUUAAAUUUUUAUAAAAAAAUAAUUGACAAUAAUAAAAAAUUAGGUAUAAUGAUAAAAUUAGUAUAAAUUAUGUAUAUAUAUAUAUAUAUAUAUAAAUUUAAUAAAAUAAAAAUUAAUAAAAAGGAAUUCGGCAAAAAUUUAUGUUCACUUGUUUAUCAAAAACAUGUCUAUUUGGUUAUAAUUUAAAGUCAAAUCUGCCCACUGAUAAAAAAAUUAAAGGGCUGCAGUAUAUUGACUGUACAAAGGUAGCAUAAUCAAUAGUCUUUUAAUUGAAGACUUGUAUGAAAGAUUUAAUGAAAUAUAAUCUGUCUCUUUAUUAAAAUUAAAAUUUAAUUUUUUAGUAAAAAAGCUAAAAUAAAUUUAAAAGACGAGAAGACCCUAUAGAGUUUUAUAUUUAAUUUAAUAGUAUAUUUUUGUAAAUAUUUAAUAUAAAAUUAGAUUAAAUAUUUUAUUGGGGUGAUAAAAAAAUUUAAUUAACUUUUUUUAUAAAAAAACAUUAAUAAAUGAGAAAAUGAUCCAUAAUUUAUGAUUAUAAGAAAAAAUUACCUUAGGGAUAACAGCGUAAUUUUUUUUUUUAGUUCAAAUAAGAAGAAAAGUUUGCGACCUCGAUGUUGGAUUAAGAUAAAAUUUAAAUGUAGAAGUUUAAAAGUUUUGAUCUGUUCGAUCAUUAAAAUCUUACAUGAUCUGAGUUCAAACCGGUGUGAGCCAGGUUGGUUUCUAUCUUUAGAUAAUUAAAAUAUUUUA